UCCUUCAGCGCCUUCACACCGUAUCCCAUGGAGUGCGUUCAGAAUAAACGUCCAUUGCAGGUGCGCACAGAUGUUUUAUCUUUGUUGUUUACCAAAUGUUAAACAAGGAUAAAAUGAUGCCUGGGUGCACUUAGACGUUCAUUCUGAACGCAGCCAUGCAGACUCGCUACAAAGCGCGUUUAUUUAAACAAUAUCAUUUUUCUAUAUAUAAUUCUCUCAUGCAAAAGAUGAUGCUGCAUGCACUUAUAGAGUGCGGUGAAAGUCUUGCUACAAAUGAUUUGGAAGCAUAUGAUUAACCAAUCAGAGUAAAGAAUUUUACAAAUUGACCAAUCAAUGCUUCAAAGCAUUAUUUGCAGCAUUAUCGUAACCGUAUCCUUAAACGCAUGCAGAUGAUGCACAUUAACGCGGGGUUGUAAGAUGUUUCAAAAUUAAUGUUUCAAACGAAACCUUUACAUUACGUCGCAAAUUAACGUUUCAGAAAUGUCGCAUUUGCUACGUUGGCGUUUUUGAAUGUGUAAAAGUUAACGUUUCAAAGGAAACAUUGAAGAAACGUAGCAAACUGAAUGUUUCAGAAAUAUUGUACGUGUAACGUUGAGGCAAUGUUUUUAAAGUUAUAAAAAAAAAAUAUAAAAAAAUUUUAUAUAAAACAUUACUGUCAUGUCACAAAAUGUUUCUUUUGUAACGUUCCAAAGGGUCACAUUUAAGGUGAAAAUGUAAUGUUUUUGACACGUUCCAUGGACUAACACAAAUAGAACGUUACUUUUAAACGUAUAUAAAAUUUGUUAUUUAACCUAUACAUACAAAACGUUACAAAUUUGCUAAAUUAGAGCGAAAACGUAACGCUCCCUGAAGGUUUCAUGUUUAGCGGGCUGUAUGGUGCUGGAAUAGCUGAUUAGAUGUAAGUGUCAAAAAACAAAUAUUACUUACGAUUUUUUCUUCCUCAAACUUUAGACGCGUUUUUCUCGAAACAACUUUUUUUUGCGCGCCGCACACGAUUCCGCUUCAACGACUUAACCAAUUUCGAUAUUUGAGGGCUCAAAUUAAAGCUUAUUCAAUUUAGGGGGCCUUCAGGAAGCGUUUAAAAAAAAAUUAUUUAUUAUUGUUUUUUUAACGUUAAGCAAAACAAAAAAAAACGGGAAAGAGGGUCUUCUUUUUCGUAAUGGCCGUCAUUUCUUUUUGAAAGGGUUUUUUAAAAAUCGGAAAAUCAUAAGGCCCCCCAAAUUUCAUCUAUUUUAAGAAUAUUUUUGGUUUUUUUGUUUCAGAUCACUUGGCAGGGCUGUAGAGUGUGCAGCGCACAUUGCUUAUCGCCGCGCACGGCUUUAUUCAGUGAGGGCUAGAGCCGCCAUUUUGAUUUUUUUUUUUUAGAAAAAAUGUUAUUUAUAUUUUCAAAUAUGUACUAAUAAAUGCAAUAAAAAGUUUUUUCAAAAAACAUUUACGUUCGCUCAAAAAAAAAUCAUGAAAUUACGUUAAUUUUCGGGUCUUUUGACUAGAACGUCCCCUUAACGUACUGAUAACUAAAAAGUAUAGACUUCGAGGUGUAUAUGUUUUAUGAGAAAGUUCAUAUCAUUCUUUUUUGCGAAAUUACACUUUUUUGAAAUUUGCCUAUUUUUGGUUUGUAGAAUAUACACACGUGAUGCUUUAAUUUUGUUGUUGAAUUACAAUAAUAAUACUAUAUAAUGCUAAUUAUGUAAUAUAACCUAUUAUAGAAUUUCCGAAAGUGACAGAAAAAAUGCGAAGUUUAGAAAAGACUGCAGAGCGAAUUCAGAAAAUAUUAUCCAAACAAUUAAAGCAACUUAGUGUGUCACAUGUCCAUGAGCAAAACAAAACUGACGAAUAUACUAAGACUGUUACGAAAGUUUGUAGUGUAGCACCGCGUAAAUAUGUAAUAUUCAGGUAUAGGAAGUAAUAAGUUGCAGUAAGUAACGCUGUUAUUCGUUACUUUUGUAUAAUUUGGUUAUGUUACAAUCUUCAAUAAUAGUAAUAAUAACAUGUCACACAGACAAAUUUUAAACGUAAGCAGUAAGCAAAUUAGCCAAUGACAGUCGGGAAUAUAUAGCAGUAGCAAAUCCAACGCGUUGAUUUUCUUACUACAUACGUUUUACUGUUUGAACUUUUCUGUUGGAUCCUUUAAAAUAGUCACUUUUGACAAACAGCUCAUUAUCAUUAUAAAUUACUCAUUAAAAAAUACUUGUAACUUUAUUCGUUAUGUAACGAGUCAAAAUAACGCGUUAUUUUUGCAUUUCUUUUGUUUUUACAUGAGUGAACUAACCUUUUUCAAUGAAUAAUGCAUGACAAUAAAUUGCUUUUGUUAAAAGUGAUUGUCUCUAAACAUCUUAGCGUUAUUAUUACCAUUAUGAAAAUUUAUAACGUCAUUACUAAAUUGUUAUAAAAAAAUAAAAGUAAUGAUAAAGUAACGACUCCCUAUCCCUCGUAAUAUUUCUAAAAUAUUUAAUACUUUAAAAGUCAUCAAUUUAAUAAAAUCACUUUAAUAAAGUAUUUACAGAAUAGCAAUCCACUUGAUGAUAACAAUACAUCAACAGAAUGCCCUGCGAUGAUAACUGGUACAAAGAGUUUAAGCGUAUUAGAGGGCAAUAGUGAGAACAAAAAAGUUGAAGAAAAA